GGCUGCAACUCGCCUACAUGAAGUCGGAAUCGCUAGUAAUCGCGGAUCAGCAUGCCGCGGUGAAUACGUUCCCGGGCCUUGUACACACCGCCCGUCACACCAUGAGAGUUUGUAACACCCAAAGCCGGUGGGGUAACCUUUUGGAGCCAGCCGUCUAAGGCGGGACAGAUGAUUGGGGUGAAGUCGUAACAAGGUAUC
rnacentral:rRNA from 1 species